AAUGCCAUGGCAUCUUGUUCCAAACCACAAAACAAGAUGAAGGGCUUCCCAAUAUGUUUUACAAAAUAGCAAACUCUUACUCUUGAAAUGGAUUAGCAAAAAUACAUGUGCAACCAAUAUCAUUAAUACACUGAGAUGUUGAAGCUAGUUAUUUCUUCUACUAAAAGGGACAAUACUUGAAAAUUACCAAAAGGAAACAAAGGUCGAAUUCUAAGUCAUCCAAAUAGAACAGAACACAAAGACAUUAUACAAUGUGUUCCCUUCCACCCACCGUGCCUUUCACUAGUGAGAACGCCAACUGCUCUCUUUAGAGUGAAGAAUGGGCCUCGUGUCACACUGAGUGGAGAAGCUGCUGGAUGUGGCCCUGGAACGUGCACUAGUAUAUACCCCUCACCCUUCACUGACCCUGGCUGCAUCUCCUGCUGAAACUCUCUCUUCCUCCUCUCUCAAAUCCUCUUCAUACAGGAAUGGGUAUGAAGUGAGUUCUCUUCCACUGAUCUUGGUCACGUACUCCAAGACUUUCUUCUUGCUGGUUUCAGCAUGGGCCCUUGGACCCCACAGGAACUCAUAGCAUGCAGGAUCACUUCUGGGCACCUGCCAGUACUCCAGUGCUCCUCUAGGGCCUCCUUGGGUUCCUGUCCUCCUGGUCAGCCUGUCCCCUGAGAAUCUGAAGAGAAGUGAGACAGCUCCUGAGGUUACAGCCAGCCAGCAGAGGCCAAGGCUCCAACACUGAUGGCAGGGCCUGAAUCCUGCCCCUUUGCUGGCCUGAGAAAAUCUCAGAUCAAGAGCUCAUAUCCCUGAUAUGGAACAGAAGGGCAUGAGGGGACCCACAUCUGGCCACACCUGCUCAAGGCUUCACAGCAAGGACAGUAAGAGGUGGCCAUAUUCAGAGCCUGGGUCCACUUCCCUCUGCCGAUCUCAAGCCGCCCCUCAGACCGAGACCCUCGCUUCUCUGACCCCUAGGCGUCGCAGCCGGCCACCAAGCCUGGGGCUUCCUCGGGUUGACUGCAGGUGUUGUACCGGAUUCUGCUAUGAGUGGGGGUGGAAAUGGGGGUGGGGGUCGUGAGGGU
rnacentral:lncRNA from 1 species